CGUCCCAAUCACCACCCACAUUGUUAUUGCAUUGCUCCAAAUAAUGAAAAUAUCUUUAGCCUCUUAAUUAUUUUACAAAGCCAUUUAGCCUUUCUAAAACAUAUAAUUCUAUUUUAAUCUUCUAUUAAUAUCUUUCCAUUUCAAGUAGUCUUUAUACGACUGCCAAGCUUGCAGCCCCACUAGCUUAUUUCUUUGGCUUCCCCAUC
rnacentral:lncRNA from 1 species